rnacentral:rRNA from 1 species
UAGGGAAUCUUCGGCAAUGGGGGCAACCCUGACCGAGCAACGCCGCGUGAGUGAAGAAGGUUUUCGGAUCGUAAAGCUCUGUUGUAAGAGAAGAACGUGUGUGAGAGUGGAAAGUUCACACAGUGACGGUAACUUACCAGAAAGGGACGGCUAACUACGUGCCAGCAGCCGCGGUAAUACGUAGGUCCCGAGCGUUGUCCGGAUUUAUUGGGCGUAAAGCGAGCGCAGGCGGUUUAAUAAGUCUGAAGUUAAAGGCAUUGGCUUAACCAUUGUUCGCUGUGGAAACUGUUAAGCUUGAGUGCAGUAGGGGAGCGUGGAAUUCCAUGUGUAGCGGUGAAAUGCGUAGAUAUAUGGAGGAGCACCGGUGGCGAAAGCGGCUCUCUGGUCUGUAACUGACGCUGAGGCUCGAAAGCGUGGGGAGCAAACAGG